rnacentral:tRNA from 1 species
GAUGGGUGGCCGAGUGGUCGAAGGCACCAGUCUUGAAAACUGGCGUACGUUUGCGCGUACCGUGGGUUCGAAUCCCACUCCAUC